rnacentral:rRNA from 1 species
GGGCCCGCACAAGCGGUGGAGUAUGUGGUUUAAUUCGAUGCAACGCGAAGAACCUUACCAGGGUUUGACAUCCUGCGAAUCUCUUGGAAACAGGAGAGUGCCUUCGGGAGCGCAGUGACAGGUGGUGCAUGGCUGUCGUCAGCUCGUGUCGUGAGAUGUUGGGUUAAGUCCCGCAACGAGCGCAACCCACGUCUUUAGUUGCCAGCAUUUAGUUGGGCACUCUAGAGAGACUGCCGGUGAUAAACCGGAGGAAGGUGGGGACGACGUCAAGUCCUCAUGGGCCCUUACGGGGAUGGGGCUACACAACGUGCUACAAUGGCAGUGACAAUGGGUUAACCCCAAAAAUCUGUCUC